AUUAACGCUAGCGGCAGGCAUAAUACAUGCAAGUUGAACGGCAGCACAGGUAGCAAUACUGGGUGGCGAGUGGCGCACGGGUGCGUAACACGUAUGCAACCUACCCUAUACAGGCGAAUAACCUUUAGAAAUGAGGGCUAAUACGCCGUAGUAUUACAGAUGGGCAUCUAUUUGUAAUUAAAGAUUUAUCGGUAUAGGAUGGGCAUGCGUCCCAUUAGUUAGUUGGUAAGGUAACGGCUUACCAAGACGAUGAUGGGUAGG
rnacentral:rRNA from 1 species